rnacentral:rRNA from 1 species
ACGCUGGCGGCAGGCUUAACACAUGCAAGUCGAACGGUAACAUAAAGAAGCUUGCUUCUUUGAUGACGAGUGGCGGACGGGUGAGUAAUGCUUGGGAAUCUAGCUUAUGGAGGGGGAUAACUACGGGAAACUGUAGCUAAUACCGCGUAAUAUCGAGAGAUUAAAGUGUGGGACCUUCGGGCCACAUGCCAUAGGAUGAGCCCAAGUGGGAUUAGGUAGUUGGUGAGGUAAAGGCUCACCAAGCCGACGAUCUCUAGCUGGUCUGAGAGGAUGACCAGCCACACUGGUACUGAGACACGGCCCAGACUCCUACGGGAGGCAGCAGUGGGGAAUAUUGCGCAAUGGGGGCAACCCUGACGCAGCCAUGCCGCGUGAAUGAAGAAGGCCUUCGGGUUGUAAAGUUCUUUCGGUAGCGAGGAAGGCACUUAGUUUAAUAAACUAGGUGAUUGACGUUAACUACAGAAGAAGCACCGGCUAACUCCGUGCCAGCAGCCGCGGUAAUACGGAGGGUGCGAGCGUUAAUCGGAAUAACUGGGCGUAAAGGGCACGCAGGCGGUGACUUAAGUGAGGUGUGAAAGCCCCGGGCUUGACCUGGGAAUUGCAUUUCAUACUGGGUCGCUAGAGUACUUUAGGGAGGGGUAGAAUUCCACGUGUAGCGGUGAAAUGCGUAGAGAUGUGGAGGAAUACCGAAGGCGAAGGCAGCCCCUUGGGAAUGUACUGACGCUCAUGUGCGAAAGCGUGGGGAGCAAACAGGAUUAGAUACCCUGGUAGUCCACGCUGUAAACGAUGUCGAUUUGGGGGUUGAGCUUUAAGUUUGGCGCCCGUAGCUAACGUGAUAAAUCGACCGCCUGGGGAGUACGGCCGCAAGGUUAAAACUCAAAUGAAUUGACGGGGGCCCGCACAAGCG